ensembl:snRNA U6 U6 spliceosomal RNA
GUGCUCAAUUUAGAAGCACAAAACAUUACAUUUUGAAACAAUACAGAGAUGAUUAGCAUGAAUUCUUCAAGGAUGCCAUGCAAAUUUGUAACACUGUCCAUAUUUUU